UACGUAGGGGGCUAGCGUUGUCCGGAAUCAUUGGGCGUAAAGCGCGUGUAGGCGGUUCGGUAAGUCCGCUGUGAAAGUCGGGGGCUCAACCCUCGAAUGCCGGUGGAUACUGUCGGGCUAGAGUGCGGAAGAGGCGAGUGGAAUUCCUGGUGUAGCGGUGAAAUGCGUAGAGAUCGGGAGGAACACCCGUGGCGAAGGCGGCCACCUGGGCCGACCCUGACGCUGAGGCGCGAAGGCGUGGGGAGCGAACGGG
rnacentral:rRNA from 1 species